rnacentral:rRNA from 1 species
UACGUAGGGGGCGAGCGUUGUCCGGAAUUACUGGGCGUAAAGGGUGCGUAGGCGGCAUGGUAUGUCAGAUGUGAAAUACCCAGGCUUAACUUGGGGGGUGCAUUUGAAACUGCUGUGCUUGAGUGCAGGAGAGGAAAGCGGAAUUCCUAGUGUAGCGGUGAAAUGCGUAGAUAUUAGGAGGAACACCAGUGGCGAAGGCGGCUUUCUGGACUGCAACUGACGCUGAGGCA